UUAAAUCGUCAGUAAUUUAAUUUAACUGAUUAGUAUAUGAAUCUUAACAUGGGGAGUUAAAUAAGAUUUGAUGGAUGAAUUUCGAAUUUGAAUAAGGAGUGCAAUUACGAAUUUUUAGUGGAAUAAUUCAUAAUUAAUUAUGGUAGAUAUUAAUUUCGAAAAUUAGAAAUUAAUUCCAUAAUUGGAGCCUGGUUAGUUAAAUUCUGUGGUCUCUAUUGUGCCUAAAUAAUAGGAAAUAAAGGAAUCCUUUUUCUGGUGGAAAAGAAAACCCAACAGGUUUUGGAAAAGGGUUUUAACCCCUAAAACUUGUGCUAUAAAUACAUAAGGUUUUCCACCUAGAGGGAGUAGUACAUGGUGGCCAAAAAUUUCAGCCAAGUUUUCUUAGAAAUUUCGCCCACACGAAAUUGUUAUUUCCGGAUAUUAUUUGGGUAACACAGUAGAAGACCGUAGAACUUUCGGAGAUCGUGGUCGUGCGGGUGAUGGAGAUUUCAUCGAAUUGCUGUGAAAUUGGAGGCUAACGUGAUAGAGGAGCUUUGUCCACGCUUCAAGAGGAAACUCCAGACCUCAAACGCCGAUUUCAUUGUCAUAAUCCUGACAAAGAUUUCUGGCAAGGAAGGAA